CAAACAAGAGCAAACAUUGCCUGGGCUACCUGUGCUCCUUCCCAGCGCGGUCAAGCGUAACUAAUCGUCCAACGGCGUCGGGUCAAGGAUGCUUGUGGCUACUUUUUCGUUUUAAAAUACGGCUAGCGACAAGGGAAAAUAGUUUAGCUCGGAUGUGUUGCCACAUAUCAAAUAACAGCCGAAUUCCGAGCUACGAACAAGCAACCAUUGCCUGGGCUACCUGUGGUUACCAAACAACAACUAUACGAGUACCGAACGGACAACUUCCGAGACCAAAUAAAACCGCCAGCUGCGCAAAAAGCAUACAAGCUGAAUUUUUUUCUUACAAAUUUAUAUUUGUCCAGGUUACACAUUCUUUCUAAUCUUUCCUCUAAGGUCUCUGAGUGAUGGUCUUUUUCUAGCAGAAAAAUUUGUAGCGUCCUUUAUAAAAACCCAAUUGAAGAGAAGUAGUCGUCAUAAAUCCCACUGAAAGCACAUCAAUGGCGUUGGUAUUCUUGCUGCCAGGGACUCGAACUUCUGGGCCGUAUAUUCGGCGGUCGAAAGCUUCUCUCAUGAUGGAGCUUCAGAGUGCUUGCGGCAGCAUUUCCCGAAGUAGAUGAUAACAGGGCAGUUUUGCCCUUUCCGCUCCUCGACUAAAACGUUAUUGGAUUUGAUGUCAUUGUGGAGAUUUUCUUUGUGAUGUAUAUAGUCAACCGUAUUGCAGAUCUUUUGAAACACUGCAUUGAGCUGUUGUUUUGAAAGUAGAGAAAAUGAAAUAAAUACAGUACGGUAUUUACAUA